GCCUUCGUGGUGUAGUGGUCAGCACGCUCGGCGUGUAUUUCGAGAGGUCCGUGGUACGAAUCCCGGCCAGGGCA
rnacentral:tRNA from 1 species